AACGCACCUUGCGCUCCUUGGUAUUCCUUGGAGCAUGCCUGUUUGAGUAUCAUGAAAUUCUCAAAGUAAACCUUUUGUUAAUUCAACUGGUCUUGCUUUGGACUUGGAGGUCUUUGCAGAUGUCACAGUUUGCUCCUCUUAAAUAAAUUAGCUGGAUCUCAGUAUACACUUGGUUCCACUCGGCGUGAUAAGUAUCACUCGCUGAGGACACUGUAAAAAGGUGGCCAGGCAAUACAGAUGAACCGCUUCUAAUAGUCCAUUGACUUGGACAAUUAAAUUUAUGAUCUGAUCUCAAAUCAGGUAGGACUACCCGCUGAACUUAA
rnacentral:misc_RNA from 1 species